rnacentral:rRNA from 1 species
CCUACGGGAGGCAGCAGUGGGGAAUCUUGCGCAAUGGGCGAAAGCCUGACGCAGCCAUGCCGCGUGAAUGAUGAAGGUCUUAGGAUUGUAAAAAUUCUUUCACCGGGGACGAUAAUGACGGUACCCGGAGAAGAAGCCCCGGCUAACUUCGUGCCAGCAGCCGCGGUAAUACGAAGGGGGGCUAGCGUUGCUCGGAAUUACUGGGCGUAAAGGGAGCGUAGGCGGAUAGUUUAGUCAGAGGUGAAAGCCCAGGGCUCAACCUUGGAAUUGCCUUUGAUACUGGCUAUCUUGAGUAUGGGAGAGGUUAGCGGAACUCCGAGUGUAGAGGUGAAAUUCGUAGAUAUUCGGAAGAACACCAGUGGCGAAGGCGGCUAACUGGCCCAUUACUGACGCUGAGGCUCGAAAGCGUGGGGAGCAAACAGGAUUAGAUACCCUGGUAGUCCACGCCGUAAACGAUGAGUGCUAGUUGUCGGCAUGCAUGCAUGUCGGUGACGCAGCUAACGACAUUAAGUACACUCCGCCGUCGGGAGGUACGGUCGCGAGAAUUAAACUACGAAGAAGUAGACGGCGNGAGACGUGCCGACGACGACGACGAGGGAGUAGG